rnacentral:rRNA from 1 species
UACAGAGGUCCCAAGCGUCGUUCGGAUUUACUGGGCGUAAAGGGUGCGUAGGCGGUUGGGUAAGUCUGAUGUGAAAUCCCCGGGCCCAACCCGGGAACUGCAUUAGAAACUGCUCGGCUAGAGGGUUGGAGGGGGGACUGGAAUCCCCGGUGUAGCAGUGAAGUGCGUAGAUAUCGGGAGGAACGCCAGUGGCGAAGGCGAGUCCCUGGACAACACCUGACGCUGAGGCACGAAAGCUAGGGGAGCAAACAGG